UCUGGAUUUUAUGGAAAGAAUAUUUCUAGAACACUCCACAUUCUCCUCAAUGGUUCUUUUUUUCAGUAAUUUUUAAUGAAUGAAAUGAACUCGUUUACUAUCGCUGCAAAAUCAAUCCAAACAAGCCCUUAAAUUCACCGAUCGGAAAAUCUCCUUUCUCAUUUCCGUCUACCGGUAAUUACUAUGUCGACGGUGACUUCGUCGCAGUACAAUUACUUGAACGGCACAUACUUUCCGACGCCGUUUCAUCUCCAACAACAACCGUCGCAACCGUACUCUGCUCCUCCCGUUGUUCCUCCUGUCUAUUCUGCUCCGGCAGCUGUUCCCGACGUUUACUCUUUACCUCAGUAUUUACAGACACAGCAAUUAUUUCAAAGAGUUGCACAGACAAUCACGCCCGAAGCAAUUGAGAAUGUGAAAGCUGCACUUGCGAGAAGUGAGCUUGAGCAAAAAGCUGAGGUGAAAAAGAAAGCUGUGCCUCGAAAGGCAGCAGGACAGACUUGGGAAGAUCCUACUCUUGCAGAGUGGCCGGAGAAUGAUUUUCGGCUAUUCUGUGGUAACCUUGGGAAUGAGGUGAAUGAUGAUGUUUUAUCAAAAGCAUUUUCAAGAUUUCCUUCCUUCAACAUGGCCAGGGUAAGUUCUUCUAGAAUCGUUUCAUCUUUUCCAAUAGUGAUACUUUUAAUGGUUAUAUAUGGACUUGUGUCAGUUACAUGUCUUUUGAUCCGAGGGUCUAUCAGAAACUACCUCUCUGCCACACAAAGAUAGGGGCUGGAGGUCUUCAUGUCUGUAAUUUUUCUUCUUCCUUUUAUCGUUUUUGUCCAUAUCUCAAGACAUUCAUGAAUAUGGGGGAGAACUUUGAUCUAUUAAAAAAGGGGGGGAAAGAAAUUUCAGAAUGGUGUCGUGAUGUGGGAUGAUGCCAUUGUUGGGCUCUUGGAUGGAACCAAACUUGUACUCCUCACCUCAGCAUGUGUAUGUAGCGCUUUUCUCUUUUUCUGUUUGUUGCGUAGACUGCAUAUGUUGGCAGUUUCCAUGCACAUGUUAGAUCAUAACUGAAGAAUGUUGCUUAGUACAUUCAUCGUUCUUGUAAUGUCCUUAAGGGUUUCUAACAAUGUAAGAAUGACAGGUUGUGAGAGACAAGCGGACUGGUAAGACCAAGGGAUAUGGAUUUGUUAGUUUUUCCAACCCUUCAGACCUUGUCGUGGCACUUAAAGAAAUGAAUGCUUGAUAAGAGGGACGAUUAAAUAUCUUUGAAGAUCACCAGACCGGAAUGGUAUGGGAUGAUAACCAAAUGGAUCUGAAAUUUUUCUUGUUUUAUUCUGUUUGUUGAUGCCUUAUAUGGGUCUCUUUCUAUCCCUUGUUUGAUGUCAUAAGGUCAAAAGAUUUGGCCGGACGGAAGAGUGUUAUCUGCAAACCCAUCCCUCCCCCAAUGCGAGAAGACUUGCUGGAUGACACAGCAUCACAACAACUAGGAGUGUGCUGUUGAAGUCGAAUUAGAUAAACGAAAACAAGGAAGGGGAACUUUCAGUUAAGAGUAUUUGAGCUUUGAGUAGUGUGGUUUUCUUAGGCUUCUUUGAAAAAUGGAUGUGUUUGUUGUUGUCAUAGUUAUUUAACCGGCAGUAUACUUUCCACUGAACUCGAAUCCCUUAGUGACAAAGGUAAAAUCUUUCUGAUUUCAGGGAAGUAUGUUGGGAACCGACCAGUUCAACUUCGGAAGAGUAAGUGGAAAAAUAGGAUUGACUAUGAAGCUUUGGCAAGACAGAAGAAUGCGUCUCAAAAGAAAGCAAAGUCACCAAAGAAGAGCGUAUUGCACAAGUGAUCGCCAAAC